GCUAUGAGCUGAUGAGCUGAUUGAAGAUUGGUUUUAUUUUCGACGAGCAGGAAUGCAUAUGCCUGGUUAUGUAAUGUGCGAUAGAGUAGAGAUAAAUAAUUGAAAGUGGUCACUGUUUCUGCUUGGGUGAGCAUCUGGUAUGCUCCAUUGUUUGACUAAAUCAUGUUUGGAGUGCUGGAGAAGAUCAAUGCAAUAUGCAACUUUCUUCUACCUGUCUUGUGUAAAGUUGCAGAGCUCGCCCCAAUCUUUGUUUGCCGAAUUAACCAUUUGACUCUGACUCGUGCAAAACCGUUUUGGUACACACAUUUCCCAAACUAUUUGUGAAGAUGACGUAUGGUAGAUCUAUGACUUCCCUGUAACAACUUGGAGAUAAUAAUGUAUCUGUACUUUCAGAUAACACUCUGAUCCACCAUUUCAGUCCACAUCUCGCUGAUUAUUUGAAUUAAAUUAAAUUAAAUUACUUUCGGAGGGAGUUUUGACUCCUUGGAAAGCCAAGCACGACCCGGCAACCCAGAUCUGGACUUCUUUUAUAGCUCACGAGCAGAAGAGGGAUCAACAUCAAAGCAGCAAGCAGCACGGAGGUCCAACAAUGGCGGAGAAGGGAGUGAAGGUGUUUGGCAUGUGGGCGAGCCCGAUGGCCAUCCGGGUGGAGUGGGCGCUCCGGCUGAAGGGCGUCGGGUACGAGUACGUCGACGAGGACCUCGCCAGCAAGAGCGACGCGCUGCUCCGCCACAACCCGGUGACCAAGAAGGUGCCGGUGCUGGUCCACGACGGCAAGCCGAUCGCCGAGUCCACCAUCAUCGUCGAGUACAUCGACGAGGCGUGGAAGGACGGCUACCCCAUCAUGCCGGCCGACCCCUACGACCGGGCUCAGGCGAGGUUCUGGGCCAGGUUCGCCGACGACAAGGUAAACGCAUAUGCUCUGUCUGUCCAGUAAAGCGCUCCUAGAGCUCUAAUCAAUGGCAGGACUGGGCCUGGUUUGUCUAGUGCAACGCCGCCAUCUUCCCGGUCUUCACGGCGACCGGCGAGGCGCAGCGCGAGGUGGUGCGCGAGGCCCAGCGGUGCCUGAAGACGCUGGAGAAGGCCCUGGAGGGGAAGAAGUUCUUCGGGGGCGACGCCGUCGGCUACCUCGACGUCGUGGUUGGGUGGUACGCGUAUUGGCUGCCCAUCAUCGAGGAGGUCUCCGGCGCCGACGUGGUCACCGACGAGGAGCUGCCUCUGAUGAAGGCCUGGUUCGGCCGGUUCCUGGCCGUCGACGUGGUGAAGGAGACCCUGCCCCCGAGGGACAAGCUCCUGGCGCUCAACAAGGCUCGCCGUGAGCAGCUCUCGGCGUAGAGCAGCACUUGUUCCGAGCCUUCCAGCUAGUACUUAAGCUUCUGCCAUGGAUUAUCCAUGAUGGAUAAAUAAGCGGCGAGCAUUUGCACAUUGUGCAACAAAUGUUUGGAGCUUCUUUCAGCCGCCUGCUUCACACUCCCAGUUUCCGUUAUAUAAACUUCACCCAUGAUGUUAUAUAUACGGUGCAAUAUACACUGCCUACUUAUUUCCUCGAAUGUGAAAACAAAAAGGACGCUCAUAACGCCCACGCGCCCUAUAACACACAGACUACGUCACGUCAUCGCAUGAAUGAAUGUAGAUUUUUUUUUGAAUUUCCAGUUUUUAAACUGUUUUAUCUUUUUAAUGAAAAAUCCGAUUGAAGAUCCGUUUUCAUCAUUAAAUCCAUCGCGACGGGAUCUUCAAAACUAGAACUCAUAUCAAUAUGUUUCGAUGACUUCUAAAAGUUGUCAUGUCUAUUGCACAUGAAUUGCCAUGGUGUUUACAUUGAAGUUGCCAUGAUAUGUUUCAACUAUUUUUUUCUAUAUUUAAAAGUAAAUUUUGACAUAUUAUAAAACGAGGAACUACGAAACUAGACUUGCCAUGAACCAUAAACUAAAAUUUCCAUGAUACAUGCACUUAAAAUUGCUAUGGUUCAUACAAAAAGUAAUUUUAAUGGUCAAAGUACUGGAAUUGCAAUGGUCAAAAUACUAAAAUUGCCAUGCUCUAUAAACUAAAAUUGCCACGUGACAACUUUAGUGUAACACUAUGACUACUACAGUGUAAACAUCAUGGCAACUUUUGGUCAAAAAAAAUUCGUCGAAACAUAUCAACAUGGGAUCUAGUUUUGAAGAUCUCGUCGAGAUGGGUUUAAUGAUCAAAACGGAUUUUUAAUUGGACUUCUUAAUUAGGAGAUAAAACAUUUUUAAGCCGAAAACCAAAAAGAUUUCCGCUGAUGUUAUCGGUUUUGAUGUGGCAAAAUGAAUGGUACCAAAAGUGUUUGGGCCAUGUUGUUUUGUGUCACACGUGUGGACGUUAACAUUUGCGAAUAAAAAUGACAAGGCAAAUGUACAUCAAUUACUUAUUAUUUUUCAAAUUGAGGAGCAUGCUCACAAUUUCACUUCAUGAAAUUGAUAAAACACAGCAAAUUGUGCCCAAAAUGGUCCUGCUGAGCCAAAGCUAUGACGCUUAUACAAGGCCGGAAGGCCCUGGCCUAUAAAAAGUGACGCAUCACCAAUAUCAUAACCCCGAGGUCAUCUUGCAGCUAAGGGCAUGGCAACCCGCAAAAAACCUUCCGCAUCCGUCUGCGGACAUGGAUGCGGGAGACAACGCUACAUCAUCAACGACAACAUGCAAAAACCUUCCGCAUUCGUUCGCGGACAUGGAUGCGAGAGGCAGCCAUCCAAUGCUAGCGCAUACAUUUCAAACCGUAUUUUAAGAGCAUCUAUAGCUGGACUUGGCAAAUCCUACCCCUCAAACGCUCGUGGACGCGCCCGGGCGCGUCCGCUGGCACUGACCGGGCACCCCUCAAAUAAUGUAAUCCACAUCCGGACACCUCUAUUAUCAUAUUUCAAAUCAUACAAACUCAUGCAACUAAGCCGAUGCACACACAUCGUCCGGCUACUUCAUCACUACUAACUAAACAUGCCAUCGAACUAUCAAAAUUUGGUAUGUUUGGCUAUGGUGGAGUUCAUCCACGGCUGCCCUUGCCCUUCCCGACGCCCUUGCCAUCCUUCUUGGGGAAGUACCGGUCGAAGACGCAGUACGGGUCGAGCCGGAUCUGCUCGUCGCCAUCACUGUCCUCCUUCUCCUCCGUCGGUGGCAGUCCAGCCAUGGCACGGACCGCCCGAUUCUGCUCUCGGGCGAGAGCACGUGUUCCUCCGCUACUGUUUCUUCACAAUGCGGGCGCGGAUGGCUUCCUCCUCCGGGUCCGCCCGCGCCGCCGCAUCAGCCGCCUCCGCCGUCGCCAUUUCCGCCGUGAUACAGGCCUUGGCGGCCCUUAUCCUCUCCUUCCCACAGUGGGCCACCCGGUCCUGGUGGGACUCAUAGCAUGUCCGACCGGUGAUGGGGAAGGAGAGGGAUUGCGGCUGCCGGGAUCGCGAGGAUCCAGCCCCGGAGGACCCGAGCGCCCGGUGAGUCGACGCUAUGGAGCCGCGGUGGACAGAUCCGUUCGUUGCGGCUCUAUCCUCUCGGGAGCUGCGGAGUGUAAUGCAGACUGCCAUUGCCUCAUCCAACCCGCACAGGAUGACACCCCAGCCGACGGAUCCGGACUGGUCGGAGUCUGAUCCGCUGCCUGCCAUGCCGGAGAAGGCCGGAAACCACCAGAGGUGAGCUCGGGUGGCGGAGGGGAGUGAAGUGAAGUGGCUAGGGUUGGUCCGGCGAGCGGGUGGGGACGAAUAUAUGUGGGUCGGGUCCGACAUGGCGGGCGUGCCCCCAUAUCUGCACCAUAUUUGGGUUGGAUAUGAGGGGUCCCGGUCAGCCCGAGUGUUUGAGGCCUGUUUGAAACGUCCGUCUGGAUCGAAAAAUCAUGAUCGGUUAGUGACCAGGCAGCCCGCCCAGGCCCACAAGCCUGGAGGUGCGCCCCCAGGGUGCGCCUGGCAGGCUUGUCACUCCCUCCUGACUCUCCAGGUCUUCUCCCGAAGCUUCUAGGUGUUGGUAAUCGUAGCAUAAUUUAAAAUUUUCCUACGCUCACCAAGAUGCAUCUAUGGAGUCUACUAGCAACGAAGGGAAAGGAGUGGAUCUACAUACCCUUGUAGAUCGCGAGCGGAAGCGUUCCAAUGAACGUGGAUGACGGAGUCGUACUCGCCGUGAUCCAAAUCACCGAUGACCGAGUGCCGAACGGACGGCACCUCCGCGUUCAACACACGUACGGUGCAGCAACGUCUCCUCCUUCUUGAUCCAGCAAGGGGGAAGGAGAGGUUGAUGGAGAUCCAACAGCACGACGGCGUGGUGGUGGAUGUAGCGGGUCUCCGGCAGGGCUUCGCCGAGCUUCUGCGAGAGAGAGAGAGGUGUUGCAGGGGAGGAGGGAGGCGCCCAAGGCUUAGAUGUUGCUGCCCUCCCUUCCCCCCACUAUAUAUAGGGCCAAGGGAGAGGGGGGCGCAGCCUUGCCCCUUCCUCCAAGGAAGGGUGCGGCCAGGGGGGAGUCCUUCCCCCCCAAGGCACCUCGGAGGUGCCUUCCCCCUUUAGGACUCUCCCUUUUCUCUUAUCUCUUGCGCAUGGGCCUCUUGGGGCUGGUGCCCUUGGCCCAUAUAGGCCAAGGCGCACCCCUUACAGCCCAUGUGGCCCCCCGCGGCUGGUGGACCCCCUUGGUGGACCCCCGGACCCCUUUCGGCACUCCCGGUACAAUACCGAUAAAGCGCGAAACUUUUUCGGCGACCAAAAUAAGACUUCCCAUAUAUAAAUCUUUACCUCCGGACCAUUCCGGAACCUCUCGUGAUGUCCGGGAUCUCAUCUGGGACUCCGAACAACUUUCGGGUUUCCGCAUACAUAUAUCUCUACAACCCUAGCGUCACCGGACCUUAAGUGUGUAGACCCUACGGGUUCGGGAGACAUGCAGACAUGACCGAGACGCCUCUCCGGUCAAUAACCAACAGCGGGAUCUGGAUACCCAUGUUGGCUCCCACAUGUUCCACGAUGAUAUCAUCGGAUGAACCACGGUGUCGAGGAUUCAAUCAAUCCGUAUGCAAUUCCCUUUGUCAAUCGGUAUGUUACUUGCCCGAGAUUCGAUCGUCGGUAUCCCAAUACCUUGUUCAAUCUCGUUACCGGCAAGUCUCUUUACUCGUACCGCAAUGCAUGAUCCCGUGACUAACGCUUUAGUCACAUUGAGCUCAUUAUGAUGAUGCAUUACCGAGUGGGCCCAGAGAUACCUCUCCGUCACACGGAGUGACAAAUCCCAGUCUCGAUCCGUGCCAACCCAACAGACACUUUCGGAGAUACCCGCAAUGCACCUUUAUAGUCACGCAGUUACGUUGUGACGUUUGGCACACCCAAAGCACUCCUACGGUAUCCGGGAGUUGCACGAUCUCAUGGUCUAAGGAAAAGAUACUUGACAUUGGAAAAGCUCUAGCAAACGAAACUACACGAUCUUUUAUGCUAUGCUUAGGAUUGGGUCUUGUCCAUCACAUCAUUCUCCUAAUGAUGUGAUCCCGUUAUCAACGACAUCCAAUGUCCAUGGUCAGGAAACCGUAACCAUCUAUUGAUCAACGAGCUAGUCAACUAGAGGCUCACUAGGGACAUGGUGUUGUCUAUGUAUUCACACAUGUAUUACGAUUUCCGGACAAUACAAUUAUAGCAUGAAUAAUGGACAAUUACCAUGAACAAAGAAAUAUAAUAAUAACCAUUUAUUAUUGCCUCUAGGGCAUAUUUCCAACAGUCUCCCACUUGCACUAGAGUCAAUAAUCUAGUUCACAUCACCAUGUGAUUAACACUCACUGGUCACAUCACCAUGUGACCAACAUCUAAAGAGUUUACUAGAGUCAACAAUCUAGUUCACAUCACUAUGUGAUUAUCACUCAAUGUGUUCUGGUUUGGUCAUGUUAUGCUUGUGAGAGAGGUUAUUAGUCAACGGGUCUGAACCUUUCAGAACCGUGUGCUUUACGAAUAUCUAUGUCAUCUUGUGGAUGCUACCACGCGCUAUUUGGAGCCAUUUCAAAUAAUUUCUCUACUAUACGAAUCCGGUUUACUACUCAGAGUCAUCCGGAUUAGUGUCAAAGUUCGCAUCGACGUAACCCUUUACGACGAACUCCUUUCCACCUCCAUAAUCGAGAAAAUUCCUUAAUCCACUAGGUACUAAGGAUAAGUUCGACCGCUGUCAUGAGAUCCUUUCCCGGAUCACCAUUGUACCCUCUUGACCAACUCAUGGCAAGGCACACUACAUGUGCGGUACACAGCAUAGCAUACUAUAGAGCCUAUGUCUAAAGCAUAGGGGACGACCUUCGUCCUUUCUCUAUCUUCCGCUGUGGUCAGGUCUUGAGUCUCACUCAAUACUCACACCUUGUAACACAGCCAAGAACUCCUUCUUUGCUGAUCUAUUUUGAACUCUUUCAAAAUCAUGUCAAGGUGUGCUGUCUUUUGAAAGUAUCAUCAGGCGUCUUGAUCUAUCUCUAUGGAUCUUGAUGCCCAAUAUGUAAGCAGCUUUAUCCAGGUCUUCCUUUGAAAAACUCCUUUCAAACAACCCUUUAUGCUUUCCAGAAAUUUUACAUCAUUUUGGAUCAACAAUAUGUCAUUCACAUAUACUUAUCAGAAAUGUUGUAGCGCUCCCACUCACUUUAUUGUAAAUACAAGUUUCCAACAAACUUUGUAUAAACCCAAAAACUUUGAUCACUCCAUCAAAGCGUAUAUUCUGACUCCGAGAUGCUUGCUCUAAUCCAUGGAAGGAUCGCUGGAGCUAGCAUACCUUUUAGCAUCCUUAGGAUCGACAAAACCUUUCUGAUUGUAUCACAUACAACCUUUCCUUACGAAAACUGGUAAGGAAACUUUUUUUGACAUCCAUCUGCCAGAUUUCAUAAAUGUAGCUAAUGCUAACAUGAUUCCGACGGACCUAAGCAUCGCUACGGAUGAGAAAAACUCAUCGUAGUCAACUCCUUGAACUUGUGAAAAUACUCUUUGCCACAAGUCGAGCUUCAUAGACGGUAACAUUACCGUCCAUGUCCGUCUUCUUCUUAAAGAUCCAUUUAUCUCAAUGGCUUGCCGAUCAUCGGGCAAGUUCACCAAAGUCCAUGCUUUGUUCUGAUACAUGGAUUCUAUCUCGGAUUUCAUGGCCUCGAGCCAUUCGUCGGAAUAUGGGCCCACCAUCGCUUCUCCAUAGCUCGUAGGUUCAUUGUUGUCUAGCAACAUGACUUCCAAGACAGGAUCACGCAUUACUCUGAAGUAGUGGGCAUCCUCGUCGUCCUACGAGGUUUGGUAGUGACUUGAUCCGAAGUUUCAUGAUCACUAUCAUAAGCUUCCACUUCAAUUGGUGUAGGUGCCACAGGAACAACUUCCUGUGCCCUGCUACACACUAGUUGAAGCGACGGUUCGAUAACCUUAUCAAGUCUCCACCAUCCUCCCACUCAAUUCUUUCGAGAGAAACUUUUCCUCGAGAAAGGACUCGUUUCUAGAAGCAAUUACUUUUGCUUCCAGAUCUGAAAUAGGAGGUAUACCCAACUGUUUUUGGGUAUUCUAUGAAGAUGCAUUUAUACGCUUUGGGUUCGAGCUUAUCAACCUGAAACUUUUUCACAUAAGCAUCGCAGCCCCAAACUUUUAAGAAACGACAACUUAGGUUUCUAUAAAUGGUGUCGUCUCAACGGAAUUGCAUGGUGCCCCUUUUAAAGUGAAUGCGGUUGUCUCUAAUGCCUAACCCAUAAACGAUAGUGGUAAUUUGAUAAGAAACAUCAUGGUAUGCACCAUAUCCAAUAGGGUGCAGUUAUGAUGUUCGGACACACCAUCACACUAUGGUGUUCCAGGCGGUAUUAAUUGUGAAACACUUUCCACAAUGUCUCAACUGUGUGCCAAACUCGUAUCUCAGAUACUCAUCUCUAUGAUCAUAUCACAGACAUUUUAUCCUCUUGUCACGACGAUCUUCAACUUCACUCUGAAAUUGCUUGAACCUUUCAAUAAUUCAGACUAGUGUUUCAUCAAGUAAAUACACUCAGUAUCUACUCAAAUCAUCUGUGAAGUAAGAACAUAACGAUAUCCACUGCAUGCCUUAGCAUUCAUUGGACUGCAUACAUCAAAAUGUAUUACUUCCAAUAAAUUGCUCUCUUGUUCCAUCUUACUGAAAACGAGGCCUUUCAGUCAUCUUGCCCAUGUGGUAUGAUUUGCAUGUCUCAAGUGAUUCAUAAUCAAGUGAGUCCAAACGAUCCAUCUGUAUGGAGUUUCUUCAUGCAUAUAUACCAAUAGACAUGGUUCGCAUGUCUCAAUCUUUUCAAAAAUGAGUGAGUCCAAAGAUCCACCUACAUGGAGCUUCUUCAUGCGUUCUACACCAAUAUGACUCAAGUGGCAGUGCCACAAGUAUGUGGUACUAUCAUUACUAUCUUAUAUCUUUUGGCAUGAACAUGUGUAUCACUACGAUCGAGAUUCAUUUUAGGUGCAAGACCAUUGAAGGUAUUAUUCAAAUAAACAGAGUAACCAUUAUUCUCCUUAAAUGAAUAACCGUUUUGCGGUAAACAUAAUCCAAUCAUGUUCAACGCAAACACCAAAUCUCGAUGGUAGAGGAAGCAUGCGAUGCUUGAUCACAUCAACCUUGGAAACACUUCCAACACAUAUCGUCAUCUCACCUUUAGCUAGUCUCCAUUUAUUCCGCAGCUUUUAUUUCGAGUUACUAACACUUAGCAACCGAACCAGUAUCUAAUACCCUGGUGCUGCUAGGAGUACUAGUAAAGUACACAUUCAUAUAAAGUAUAUCCAAUAUACUUCUGUCGACCUUGCCUGCCUUCUCAUCUACCAAGUAUCUAGGGUAGUACUGCUUCAGUGACCGUUCCUCUCAUUACAGAAGCACUUAGUCUCGGGUUUGGGUUCAACCUUGGGAUUCUUCACUAGAGCAGCAAACGACUUGCUGUUUCAUGAAGUAUCCCUUUUGCCCUUGCCCUACUUAAACUAGUGGUUUUACUAACCAUCAACAACUGAUACUCCUUCUUGAUUUCUACUCUCGCGGUGUCAAACAUCGCGAAUAGCUCAAGGAUCAUCAUGAUUAUCCUUGAUAUGUUAUAGUUCAUCACGAAGCUCUACUAGCUUGGUGGCAGUGACUAUGGAGAACUAUCACUAUCUCAUCUGGGAGAUUAACUCCCACUCGAUUCAAGCGAUUGUGGCACUCAGACUAUCUGAGCACACGCUCAACGAUUGAGCUUUUCUCCCUUAGUUUGCAGGCUUAAGAAACUUGUCAGAGGUCUCAUACCUCUUGACGUGGGCACUAGUCUGAAAUCCCAAUUUCAGUCUUCGGAACAUCUCACAUGUUCUGCGACGUUUCAAAACGUCUUUGGUGCCACAAUUCUAAACCACACUGAACUAUCACGUAGUCAUCAAAACGUGUAUGUCAGAUGUUUCGUAACAUCUACAGACGACGCUGAGGUUCAGCACACCGAGCGGUGCAUUAAGGACAUAAGCCUUCUGUGCAGCAAUGAGGACAAUCCUCAGUUUACGGACCCAGUCCGCAUAAUUGCUACUAUCAAUUUUCAACUAAAUUUUCUCUAGGAACAUAUCUUAACCAGUAGAACUAAAGCGCAAGCUAUAACAUAAUUUGCAAAUACCUUUUUGACUAUGUUCAUGAUAAUGAAGUUCAUCUGAUUAUGAACUCCCACUCAGAUAGACAUCCCUCUAGUCAUCUAAGUGAAACAUGAUCCGAGUUUAACUAGGCCGUGUCCGAUCAUCACGUGAGACGGACUAGUCAAGAUCGGUGAACAUCUCCAUGUUGAUCGUAUCUUCUAUACGACUCAUGCUCGACCUUUCGGUCCUCCGUGUUCCGAGGCCAUGUCUGUACAUGCUAGGCUUGUCAAGUCAACCUAAGUGUAUUGCGUGUGUUCCGAGGCCAUGUCUGUACAUGCUAGGCUCAUCAACACCCGUUGUAUUCGAACGUUAGAAUCUAUCACACCCGAUCAUCACGUGGUGCUUCGAAACAACGAACCUUCGCAACGGUGCACAGUUAGGGUGAACACUUUCUUGAAAUUAUUAUAAGGGAUCAUCUUACUUACUACCGUCGUUCUAAGCAAAUAAGAUGCAAAAACAUGAUAAACAUCACAUGCAAUCAAAUAGUGACAUGAUAUGGCCAAUAUCAUCAUGCUCCUUUGAUCUCCAUCUUCGGGGCACCAUGAUCAUCUUCGUCACCGGCAUGACACCAUGAUCUCCAUCAUCAUGAUCUCCAUCAUUGUGUCUUCAUGAAGUCGUCACGCCAACGAUUACUUCUACUUCUAUGGCUAACUCGUUUAGCAACAAAGUAAAGUAAUUUACAUGGCGUUAUUCAAUGACACGCAGGUCAUACAAAAUAAUAAAGACAACUCCUAUGGCUCCUGCCGGUUGUCAUACUCAUCGACAUGCAAGUCGUGAUUCCUAUUACAAGAAUAUGAUCAAUCUCAUACAUCACAUAUAUCAUUCAUCACAUCUUCUGGCCAUAUCACAUCACAUAGCACUUGCUGCAAAAACAAGUUAGACGUCCUCUAAUUGUUGUUGCAAGUUUUUUACGUGGUUUGUAGGUUUCUAGCAAGAACGUUUCUUACCUACGUAUGACCACAACGAGAUUUGCCAAUUUCUAUUUACCCUUCAUAAGGACCCUUUUCAUCGAAUCUGUUCCGACUAAAGUAGGAGAGACAGACACCCGCUAGCCACCUUAUGCAUCUAGUGCAUGUCAGUCGGUGGAACCUGUCUCACGUAAGCGUACGUGUAAGGUCGGUCCGGGCCGCUUCAUCCUACAAUGCCGCCGAAACAAGAAACGACUAGUAGCGGCAAGAAGAAUUGGCAAACUCAACGCCCACAACUGCUUUGUGUUCUACUCGUGCAUAGUAACUACGCAUAGACCUGGCUCAUGAUGCCACUGUUGGUAAUCGUAGCAUAAUUUAAAAUUUUCCUACGCUCACCAAGAUGCAUCUAUGGAGUCUACUAGCAACGAAGGGAAAGGAGUGGAUAUACAUACCCUUGUAGAUCGCGAGCGGAAGCGUUCCAUUGAACGUGGAUGACGGAGUCGUACUCGCCGUGAUCCAAAUCACCGAUGACCGAGUGCCGAACGGACGGCACCUCCGCGUUCAACACACGUACGGUGCAGCAACGUCUCCUCCUUCUUGAUCCAGCAAGGGGGAAGGAGAGGUUGAUGGAGAUCCAACAGCACGACGGCGUGGUGGUGGAUGUAGCGGGUCUCCGGCAGGGUUUCGCCGAGCUUCUGCGAGAGAGAGAGAGGUGUUGCAGGGGAGGAGGGAGGCGCCCAAGGCUUAGAUGUUGCUGCCCUCCCUUCCCCCCACUAUAUAUAGGGCCAAGGGAGAGGGGGGGGGCGCAGCCUUGCCCCUUCCUCCAAGGAAGGGUGCGGCCAGGGGGGAGUCCUUCCCCCCCAAGGCACCUCGGAGGUGCCUUCCCCCUUUAGGACUCUCCCUUUUCUCUUAUCUCUUGCGCAUGGGCCUCUUGGGGCUGGUGCCCUUGGCCCAUAUAGGCCAAGGCGCACCCCUUACAGCCCAUGUGGCCCCCCGGGGCUGGUGGACCCCCGGACCCCUUUCGGCACUCCCGGUACAAUACCGAUAAAGCGCGAAACUUUUCCGGCGACCAAAAUAAGACUUCCCAUAUAUAAAUCUUUACCUCCGGACCAUUCCGGAACCUCUCGUGAUCUCCGGGAUCUCAUCCGGGACUCCGAACAACUUUCGGGUUUCCGCAUACAUAUAUCUCUACAACCCUAGCGUCACCGGACCUUAAGUGUGUAGACCCUACGGGUUCGGGAAACAUGCAGACAUGACCGAGACGCCUCUCCGGUCAAUAACCAACAGCGGGAUCUGGAUACCCAUGUUGGCUCCCACAUGUUCCACGAUGAUAUCAUCGGAUGAACCACGGUGUCGAGGAUUCAAUCAAUCCGUAUGCAAUUCCCUUUGUCAAUCGGUAUGUUACUUACCCGAGAUUCGAUCGUCGGUAUCCCAAUACCUUGUUCAAUCUCGUUACCGGCAAGUCUCUUUACUCGUACCGCAAUGCAUGAUCCCGUGACUAAAGCUUUAGUCACAUUGAGCUCAUUAUGAUGAUGCAUUACCGAGUGGGCCCAGAGAUACCUCUCCGUCACACGGAGUGACAAAUCCCAGUCUCGAUCCGUGCCAACCCAACAGACACUUUCGGAGAUACCCGUAAUGCACCUUUAUAGUCACCCAGUUACGUUGUGACGUUUGGCACACCCAAAGCACUCCUACGGUAUCCGGGAGUUGCACGAUCUCAUGGUCUAAGGAAAAGAUACUUGACAUUGGAAAAGCUCUAGCAAACGAAACUACACGAUCUUUUAUGCUAUGCUUAGGAUUGGGUCUUGUCCAUCACAUCAUUCUCCUAAUGAUGUGAUCCCGUUAUCAACGACAUCCAAUGUCCAUGGUCAGGAAACCGUAACCAUCUAUUGAUCAACGAGCUAGUCAACUAGAGGCUCACUAGGGACAUGGUGUUGUCUAUGUAUUCACACAUGUAUUACGAUUUCCGGACAAUACAAUUAUAGCAUGAAUAAUGGACAAUUACCAUGAACAAAGAAAUAUAAUAAUAACCAUUUAUUAUUGCCUCUAGGGCAUAUUUCCAACACUAGGGUCCUUCUGGUCCAGAAAAAAUAAUCAAAAAGUUUCGUAUUGUUUGGACUCCGUUUGAUACUGAUUUCCUGAAAAGCCAAAAAACAAGCAAAAAAACAACAACUGACACUGGGCACUAGGUUAAUAAGUUAGUCCCAAAAAAGAUAUAUAAUUACAUAUAAUUGCAUAAUAAACAUUCAAGAUUGAUACUAUAAUAGCAUGGAACAAUAAAAAAUUAUAGAUACGUUGGAGAUGUAUCAAUCGUUAGGGAAAAGCAAGCAAGUGGAGGCUUGACAGAAGAUUUUUCUUGUGGUUCAUCUAUCCAACUCAAUAUUGAUGGAGGCUUCGAAUCACAGAUAUUUUAGGAUCACAGAGAUCCUGGUUGCGAGGUCAACAUGGAAUCCAUGAUGGAGCAACCAACCUAUUCCACCAUUGCUUACGACCACGAAGAUCUAGCCUCACUUGGGGGUAGAUUUUCCUGAAGUAGGCGAUCUAUGAUGGAAAGUACGGACUUCUUGGCUCCUUCACACACCUAGCCGAUCUAGUAUGCGCACACCGUUCAAAAUUAACAAGAUGAGCUUGCUUGGUGUGGAAUUCCUUGCCUUGUGCUUCAAAAGACAACUCGUCUGCGUCACUCUCAAGAUGGAUAUUUGGACCGAAGAGGUUGGGGUGAUGAGCAAGGAGAGAGAUUAAAUAUCAAAUGAGUGGCUUGAAAGUUGAAGUAGAAAGAGCUUUGAACUUAGCACUAGACAGUUCUCUCACAGAAAAAUUGAUUUGAAUGGAAGCUUCGAGUAAACUGGUGGGAAAGGGCUGGGUAUAUAUAGGCGGGACCAUGUGACAUUUAAACACCACUAGCAAAAAGACUCGUGCGUUGCAACGGGAGAAAAAAAUCCUCUCGUCUCUAGCUGGGUCAGUUGGACAAACUAUGUGUGGCCGGUUGGCAGGUUAUGAGAUCCAACCCUCCCAUCGGCAAUUUUAUUUUUUGCCAGCUCUCCAGACCUGGGCCACAGUGCGCCGCCAGAUGGGCUUCCUCCGUUGGGCCAAAACGGGUGGCAAGUAACGAAACCAAAUAGCGUAUGUGCAAUUAAUUGAAGCGGGACCAAACAAAGUGGGACGAAACCAAGAAUAUCACCUCCCUUUAAUAAUUGACUAGCAAAAAGGCCCGUGCGUUGCGACGGGAGAAAACAAAUCCACUCAUAUCUCUAGCUGGGUCAGUUGGACAAACUGUGCGUGACCGGUUGGCAGGUUAUGAGAUCGAACCCAUCGGCAAAUUUAUUUUUCUCCGGACCUGGGCCAUAGUGCGCCGCCAGAUGAGCUUCCUCCGUUGGGCCAAAACGGGUGGUAAGUAACGAAACCAAAUAGCGUACGUGAAAUUAAUUGAAGCGGGACCAAACGAGGCGGGACGAAACCAAAAAUAUCACCUCCCUUUAAUAGUAGGUAUAAAUACAUAUUUUGCACGGUUCGGCUCUACGAAUGAUCGGCUCGGAAGCUCCGAGCAAAACUAAAGGAGGCUACUCGAAGUAGCUCGGAGGGCCAUUUGCAGGCUCCGACUGACCUACAACACACUGUGCAGGCUUAAGCUAUUAUUCAGAAUUUUUGAUGAAGGAUGGUUUGGCGAAUCCAGUCAAGCCAAGAAGAGCAAACACCAGACAAUCCAAGUACCAAUGACAUGGAGGCUUCGAGUGAUUUAGGUUGAGCAAUGACUAUCCCUAGAUUCCACAUAGAAGUGGAUCAGAGGCUCCGAGUAGUGUGAAGUCAGAGAGAUAUAGCAGAAAAAAUGGAAGUUUUUUUAUUAUUAUUUUCAAGUUUGAUCUUUAAGCACGUAUGAGAAAGAAACUCAACUUAGCAACCUCAAUCACGUUUUGAUAGUAUUGGGACUUCUAUGAACUCAAUGUGAUCUUGGAUCACUAAAAUGUAAAAGCUAAGCCUUGAGUCUUGUCAACACUUGUCUAUUUUAAAAUGAGCUCCGCUUCGAUAGACCCCCUCACAAAACGUAUAGAAGGCAAUAUGGACCUUUGACGUAUCAUACAACGCCGGAUAUAUACGGCCGUACCUUAGCCUAAACAUGAAUACAAUGUUAUUGGCUCCUUAGGCGGGCCUGGCCCAUUUACGUUUAUUUCUUUCUUUUGCGCAGUUCGGCUCUACGAAUGAUCGGCUCGGAAGCUCCGAGCAAAACUAAAGGAAGCUACUCGAAGUAGCUCGAAGUGUCAUUUGCAGGCUCCGACUGACCUACAACAUAGCUGUGCACGCUUAAGCUAUUAUUCAGAAUUUUCGAUGAAGGAUGGUUUGGCGAAUCCAGUCAAGCCAAGAAGAGCAAACACCAGACAAUCCAAGUACCAAGGACAUGGAGGCUCCGAGUGAUUUAGGUUGAGCAAUGACUAUCCCUAGAUUCCACAUAGAAGGGGAUCAGAGGCUCCGAGUAGUGUGAAGUCAUAGAGAUAUAGCAGAAAAAUGGAAGUCUUUUUUAUUCUUUUCAAGUUUGAUCUUUAAGCACGUAUGAAAGAAACUCAACUUAGCAACCUCGAUCACCUUUUGAUAGUAUUGGGACUUCUAUGAACUCAAUGUGAUCUUGGAUCACUAAAAUGUAAAAGCUAAGCCUUGAGUCUUGUCAACACUUGUCUAUUUUAAAAUGAGCUCCGCUUCGACGGACUCCCCUCACAAAACGUAUAAAAGGCAAUAUGGACCUUUGACGUAUGGUACAACGCCGGAUAUACACGGCCGUACCUUAGCCUGGACGUGAAUACAAUGUUAUUGGCUCCUUAGGCGGGCCUGGCCCAUUUACGUUUAUUUCUUUCUUUUUAGAAUUAAACUACAAAAAGUAUAAAUAGUGCAUUGCACUCCCGUAGGGAGGCCGCUAACCACAGGGACACUUGAACUGUUGUGCCUUAGAACUUCUUUCCUUCUUCUUACCGAAAUAUAACGUUUCAAAAAGUUUUUUUCAGUUUAGCCCGUGUUCUUUGUUAUUUAUUUAUUUUUUAUAUUUCCCUAUUUCUUUCUAUUUUUGUUUUCUUUUCUUAAUUCACAGACCUUUUUAAAAUUCUUUAACUUUUUAAAAUUUAUCAUUUGUUUUUUUAAUGAACUUUUUCAUGAUUUUUUCGAGUGUGUGAUUUUAUUUCAAAUUCAUAAAAUUUUCCGAGUCUGCGAUUUUUUUCAUUUUUUAGGAAAAAAUCAUGAGCACAUGGAACUUUUUCAGUGGUUUCAUGCUUGUAACCAAACACACCUUGUACAAUCUAGUACGUACGUUCGGGUAGGCCGGAAGGGCAAGUUUCGAACCACUUUUUUUCACCUCCAAACGCCCCAACUUUUUUCCACACCUUGGCGUCAUCAUGCCCAACAUGCAUGCUAAAUUUCGUUGGUCUCCGACAUUUCAUGCAUUUUCUAGGCUUUCCCAUCGGAAAACCCCUAAACACUAGCCGGACGUGACGCAACGUGCGUUCGGUGUCCGAGUUCAUUCAAAUUUUGCGUGGGGGGAAACCUAGGGCAUGCCCAACCACUGGCAAAAUUUGGUGUCAUUUCAUGCUUGCAACCGAAGACAGUGUGUACAAUCUGGUAUGUUCGGGUAGACCAGAAGGGCAAGUCUCGAACCAGUUUUCAUUUCACCUCCUCCGAACACGUCCAAAUUGUUUCCACACCUUGGCAUCACCAUGGGCAGCAUGCAUGCCAAGUUUUGUUGGUUUCUGACAUUCUAUGCUUUUUCUAGGUGUUUCCGGUGAAAAGACUCUAAAACACAGGUCGGACGAGACGCAACGUGUGCUUGGUGUCUAAAUUUGUUCAAAUUUUGCAUGGGGGACAACCUUGGGCAUGCCCAACCGCUGGCAAAAUUUGGUGUCAUGUCAUGCUUGCAACCAAACACACAGUGUACAACCUUGUACAUUCGGGUAGACCGGAAGGGCAAGUCUCGAACCAUUUUUUUUUCACCUCCUCCGAACGCACCCAAUUUUUUUCCUCAGAUUGGCAUUAUCAUGGACAGCAUGAAUGCCAAGUUUCGUUGGUUUCAGGCAUUUUUUCUAGGGUUUUCCUGGUGAAAAAACACAAACAUAGGUCAGACGUGACGCAACGUGCGUUAGGUCCGAAUUCGUUCAUAUUUUGCGUGGGGGACAACGUUGGGCAUGCCCAACUGCUGGGACAUUUUGGUGGUUGACCCUUGUACAUUUCCUGCUUCUAAAUAUCACAUGCGGUUGUAGUCGGAUAGCAAGCAGUGUAAUCAGGACGAUGAGGUUACAAAAUUUGUUCCCAAAUUCAAAAAAUAUUCUUGAUUUCAACAGUUGUUCGCAAAUUCAAUAAAUUUUUGGGGAAUUUCAAAAGAAUGUUCGCACUUUCAAAUGAUUCUUCGUAAUUUUUAAAAAUGUUUGAGUUUUCAGUUUAGUUCCUGUGUUUCAACGAAUGUUCUCCUUUUCAAUGUUUUUUUCCUUUGUAAAACAAAUGUUUGUGAGUCUCGUGUUUUCACAAAAUAUUUUAGUUUUUUUAAAUCACAAAUUUGAAAAUGUUCGCAUUUCCCAAAAAAAUGUUCGCUAUUCCAAAAAAUGUUAUCGUUUUCAGUUUUGUUCCUUUUAUGAUUCUCAAAAAAUGUUCACGUUUUCACAAAAUGUUGUAGUUCUUUUAAAAAUAUCACAAAUUUUUCAAUGACCGCAUUUCUAAAAAUAUUGGCUUUUUCCAUUAAGAAAAUGAGGUCUGAGUUUUUUUAAAAUAAUUUCACGGCCUAUGGUUCAUAUAGACUGGCUGCCUUUUCAGACACCAAAUCCCAGUUAGUAUAGUGACUACUGACGUGGUUGACUGUUGUGAUGUCGCUGAUUUGAUCCCUAUUGCACACUUUGGUUUAUCUUUAUUUUGUGAACUUUUGUUUUAAAUUUUGUCGCGACCUUUAGUUUCUUAAUCAUUUGCGCUAGCAAUCUAACACAGCAAAUUGGCAGUGGCGGUGGUUAGCGGAGCGUGCUUUUAACUCGAACGUGCAGGUUCGAUUCCCAUUGCCCUCAUUUUCUCUUGCGAUUUUUCUCCCAUUGAAAGGGGCGCACCCGCGAAUGGGCCGGCCCAGGUGCAAAACGUUAACUUCAUGCCGCUGCGAGCCCUCGUAUCGUACGCAGGCCAUGUGCCAGAGUUCUUAGCACGGACGACGUACUAUGAACAAAGACCAUCAUGUCCUUUAUUAUUAUUAAGGGGUAUGGAGUAAUCUUAGCCAUUAAUGUGUUUAGAGGGGGUUUACCGAAACAGAAGUGUUUUAAAAUAGGGAUAAUCAACCAUUUCCCUUGUUGCAUCUUUUGGGACCUAAUAUCAAAUGGACUUGAUAUCAUCAAUCCCUUGAGAUAUAUGUUACAUUAAUGACCAAAUCCACCUGGGGGUUGAAGAUGCACUUUUAGACCCCCUGGCGCAACCCAUUCCGUGAUUUAAAAUAUGGACAUAAGUGUCCAUUGACCAUGACAACUACAAUUCCUCCCUAUACUAUUUGUCUAAUCCAAUUGUGGUAAAAAAAAUUGUCUAAUCCAAUUCACAUGCUGCACCGGGGAACCAUUCAUUAACAGAAAAAAACACAAAAAUCGAUUUCAUCUUAUCAUAAGAUUUUUCAAGAUCUACCAUAAAGAGUAAAUCACUAUCCUUUCUCGUACUGAUCUCAUGCAAAGACUCAUGAAGAUCCCACCAUCUAGAUAUAUCUGCCUUUAAUAAAGGUCGUUUGAACUGGAGCAACCACUUUAUGUGUCGGACUAAUAGUUCUAUUAUUUACUACCUUAGUGAUCAUUUAGAAAUCACAUCAAGCAAACAUAUAGGCCUAUACAAUAAUAUUUUACCAGAUAUUAGUUUUUUGGCAACAAAGUAAUGACGCAGUUCAAUAUAGAAAUAUCAUAUUGAAUACAUGCUUGUAUGAUCAUCUAAGGGUCCAAAUGCUCCGUAUUCAAUGGUUUGUCAGAGUCUUGUGCCUUGGCUCGGAUCUCUCCAUAUAAGUAGGAGACAAAGCCCCAGAGGGAUAGCGCGAGGGCGACACCUUUGGUACCGUUGAAUGGCUCAUGGAAGAAUAGGACAGCAAGCACCUCAGUCACUGGGAUGAGCACGGUCAUGAUGACACCGGCGAGCAGCGCCGAGCCAUAGAAGAUGGCACCGAUGGUGCCGAGGAAGAAGAACUGGUACACAAUGGCCGAGGCGGCCAGCAGUAGGUAGUAGCCAAUCUGGCCGAGCCCGAACUCCCGGGCUUCUCUUGGGAUAGCCUGCAUAUGAUUCACGCGUUAAAAUUAUGUAUCUUCAUUGAAAAACAACAAUCUUUUGUAAUGAAGUACAUGAUAUACUUGAACCUCUAGAACAAAAUCUAAGUCACAAUCGGCUAAGAUUUCAAGUCUUUAGUCUAUCUUACGAAUUUGUUGGUCUAAAAAAUGUCCAGUGUGUAAUACUUUGUACAUCCAGAACAAAAUGUAUGUAAUGUUUAUUCCUAGAGCCUGAAGGAUGCACAACCUUGUACAUGCCACAAAAUCAAAUCAAUGGUGCUCGGAGCCGACUGAAACGUAAGAAGAAAAAAACAGUCGGCGAGACUUAGUAAAACCAAAAAGUAAAUUGAAAAGAAUAACUUGCACCACAUGUUGAUGAACUAUGUGAGUUGUGAAGUACUAUGAAGUGAGGUUAGGUCCAUGAAAAAAUCGACACGCAUAGGUCCAUAAACUUGCAAAAUCCAAGUUCUUUGCAAGAAAGCAAAUACACCAUCUUUCCCCCCUUGGCUGUACGCGUAGCUUUCCCAUAUACAUGUAUAUGUCCCAUCCUUUUCGACGCCAAAACUCAUCACUCUAUGCUAUGCAAAGCUACCACACGCAAAGGCGCUCUCGUAUUUCCCAAUCACGACAUCAUCUACACGGCUAGCGUUUUCCUAUCCGAGAAAGACGUAAUAAGUAUGGACUAGUUGUCCAAUGAUUGGAUUUUGCCGGAUGAGCAUAGCUAUACGUACGUACAGUCUAGUACACGUCGCACAACUUGCCAAGGGAAGGUUGAAAUCUACAUCACUGGCAUUUAUGGUUUCUGCGGUCGUUUCUAGACACUUUCUUGCAGUGACCGAUUUUAUUGGCGCUAUGCGAAUAUUGGUACGUAGAGUAGUGUCCUAUCUUUCAGAAACGUGCUCCUUUGGGAAAGCGCUAAACUUUCGAUCAACGAAGAUCUACAUUUCUUAGUGGGCCAAAAUAGUUUACCAUAUCUGUGCAGUUUUUCGUCUCUGCUUUUUACCUAGUAGUCUUACAGUUGCAUCACUUGGAUGAUGACACAAAGGAACUCCGUUCGUUCUGUUCAUGCUAUGCUGUACCUAUCAGAAAUGGUAACUUUGUUGUGAACAAGUUUGAAAAUGGGCGAUACACUUAUUUUAGAUCGGAGGAGCCUGCUAUUUACUAAAGUUAGUAGAGUUAUAGUUGCUGUUACAUGAUUUUUUUUUUUUUUUUUGCCGCUAGUUUUAGAAGCUGGGGGGCAGUCGGUGAAACUGGAAGCCAAGAUGGGCUGGGAUCGGAAAGGGUGGUGGUCACAGGGAGCCAACGUAUGCUAGUGCCAGCAAUGGUGCCUUCCCAUGAAAGAUGGUGCGAGUGAUGCAUGCAAGUCACGCGGUUCUGCUGCGAGCCGGCAGUUCAAGUUGUACUGCAGCAGCACUACAAGAAAGUGUAUGUGGGGCUGUAUAACAAGUUAACAACAGCAGCAGAAGAAGAGCUGCGGGCUGAAAAACUUACGUGGAAAUCGUUGUUCACAAGCAUCCCGAUGGCGCUGAAGGCCGUGGCGGUGAACCCGAUGACGAUCUGCAUCUCCAUGACGAGGAUGUACGUGACGGCCGCGCCGGUCCUCGCCGCGUGCCUCGCUUGGCUGAGCUCCAUGACGGGCAGCAUGAGGCCGUAGAGCGCCGCGGCGCCGAGCGUCAUGCCGAACCCGGCGUAGUACUGCGCCCGCGUCACCCCCGCGGGGCGGUCACCUCCGGCGUUCAUGCCCAGCAUGGCGGCGCCGACGCUGAGCAGCACCACGGCGUUCACGGAGAAGGCCGUGAACCGCUGGCGCACGAGCAGCAGCGCGAAGGCGGCCGUGAAGGCCAGCUGCGUGGAGAUGAGGAUGGAGGAGGUGGACACCGGGAGGUAGGCCAGCCCGUAGGCGUAGAGGAGGUCGUCGAGGCCGGUCAUGAGGCCGACGGCGACGGUCGCGGCCAGGAGGCGGGGCGACAUGAGGAAGAGCGGCGUGGCCGAGCUGCCGUCUUUGUUGCUCCGGCGGCGGGAGAGAAAGGAGGCGCUGAGCGGCGCGAGCAGGAGCGGCCAUCCGGCGGUCUGGAGCAAGCUGGAGAGCCACUUUCGGGUCCCGCCGUGCAGGAAGUAGGCGCGGAGGAGGAGCGGGCCGAACGCCGAGCCGACGACCAUGAGGAGGAAGUUGAUGACGAGGAGGGGGUUGUGGCGGAGCGGUUUAGCGGCGCCGCUAGGGAGCUGCUUGGCGCCGCCGUCCUUGCAUGGUUGCGGCUGUGCGCGGCGCUGUGCUGUUGCUUCCACCUCCAUGAGGUGGCCGGCCGGCUGAUCUCGAUCGAGGUUUGGGAGGGAGGGAAGUUGCCCGGCUCCAAGCUAGGACGAGGGCGCGUGCACAGUGUGAGUACCCGUACGUGCGCUAUAUACUGCCGCGAGAUGCAAAAGCGUUGGCGUUCUCGGCGUGCCGUACGAUACGAUGUGUUUUUCUUCAAGAGGGAUGGUGCGCGUUGUUCUAGAACAAUCAACAUGAUAAGGUCCCUCAAGUAAAAAAACAAACAAACAAACAUGAUAAGGUCCCUGCGAGAGCUAGCGCAUCCGGUGCUCCUGUGUCCUUGCGUGCACCCGGUACUCUGGAUACCACAACGCUUUGAUAAAUCAUGGAAAACUAAGGGGGAGACCUUUUUUUUUCGGGUGAAACUUUGUAUUACUCAAGUGGUAAGUCCACAGUCUCCAUUACAAAGUUCAAGGACCUCUGAUAAACCAGAGUUAAGCCACACUAUUGUUCUACUCUUGGAUCUAGCAAAAUUUGCCAAAAAAUCACUAACAUUAUUUUGACUACGAUGAACAAAACUAAAUGUAGUUUCCCGAAGACUCCUCAGGUACUUGAUUUCAUUUACCAAUGAUGAAAAAAUUGAUCUAUCAGUCGAAUCAUUUGUGAUUAUGUUCAAGGCCUCCCGUGAGUCCAUCUCUACCUGAAUAGGUAGCUCCGUUCUCUGAAUUGCUAUUGAGAGACCCUCCAUACAUGCACCUAGUUCCGCCUCCAGAGCAUUCCUGCAAGAAAAAAGCUCCCUGCAUGAUGUAUAUAUGAUCUUUCCCUGGCUAUCUCGGAGGACCAUACCAGCUCCUGCCUUCCCAUCUAUAGACCAAGAGCCAUCAAUGUUGAGCUUUGACCACCCCUCCAUAGGUAAAACCCAUGCGAUGUUGCUAGCAACAGAUGGUCUCACUCGCGGUUCAGGCAAACAAUAUGCAACAACCUGUUUACCUUUUAGGAGUUCAUCAUCUGAAUACUUUAGCGAAAUUAAGGAGUCCAAGUAUCCCAUCAAAAACCGUUUCGAUGCCUCCAUCGGAGGUGGUUCUUUGUUGUGUGUUAUCUCAUUUCGAUUGUGCCACACCCGCCACAAACACAUCAGCAGCAUGCCCCUCUCUAUCUCUGAAAGUGGAUGAAGCACUUCCAGCAGCCAUUCAAUGCCUGUGUUCUUAAGUUCCUCCCGUUUUGGUAGCCUCCAAACGGUUGCCAUGCAUUCCCACAACUGAACUGCCAGCGGACACUUACAAAGAGCAUGAAAGGUGUCUUCCUCUUCCCUCUCGCAAAUUGGGCAAAUUCCAGACGUUUCUAAGUUGCGCUUGUUUUUGUUUUGCCACGUUGGGAGGGAGUUCACCGCAACACGCCAUGCAAAGUUUUUGACCGUAGGUGGCACAAUGCUUUUCCAGAUAAGCUUCCAACAAGCCCGACGGCCAUCCGGAGCAGCGCUUGACGAUUCCGCAGAGCUUCUGUACGUUUCCUCAAAGUCUAAUUCAUAUGCCGAUUUCACUGAAAAUACUCCAGUUUUCGUCGGGCCCCAAGCCAGCACGUCCUCCUCGAGCCGAGGUGACGCUCUUAUUUUCAAGAUUUCCUGUACAUCACAUGGCAAAAAUGCUUCUUGAAGUAAACUAUAAUUCCAAGCACCAUCGCGAUGUAGCAGUUGUGACACAUGUCUAUAUCUGCAAGUCCCUUGGAUUGAUAUAGGUCUAUAGGAGAAAGGUCUAGGGAUCCAAGGGUCCCUCCAAAUUCUGAUAUUGUUCCCAUUCCCUACUCUCCAUAUUAGUCCUUUCUUAAGUAGAUCUAGGCCAUGGCUGAUUGCAGUCCAAGUUGAAGAAGCAUUUCCUGAGAAAACUGUAUCCUCAAGUUUACCAUUGGGGUAGUAUUGGCGCAUAAACUCGAAUGAGAUCUCACAUUUAGGUGAGAUAGUGAGAUCAACCUAAAAAAAA
rnacentral:lncRNA from 1 species